UUGCUGGGUGGAUUAGUGGCGAACGGGUGAGUAACACGUGAGUAACCUGCCCUUGACUCUGGGAUAAGCCUGGGAAACUGGGUCUAAUACCGGAUAGGAACGUCCACCGCAUGGUGGUUGUUGGAAAGAUUUAUCGGUCAUGGAUGGACUCGCGGCCUAUCAGCUUGUUGGUGAGGUAAUGGCUCACCAAGGCGACGACGGGUAGCCGGCCUGAGAGGGUGACCGGCCACACUGGGACUGAGACACGGCCCAGACUCCUACGGGAGGCAGCAGUGGGGAAUAUUGCACAAUGGGCGAAAGCCUGAUGCAGCGACGCCGCGUGAGGGAUGACGGCCUUCGGGUUGUAAACCUCUUUCAGUAGGGAAGAAGCGAAAGUGACGGUACCUGCAGAAGAAGCACCGGCUAACUACGUGCCAGCAGCCGCGGUAAUACGUAGGGUGCGAGCGUUAUCCGGAAUUAUUGGGCGUAAAGAGCUCGUAGGCGGUUUGUCGCGUCUGUCGUGAAAGUCCGGGGCUUAACCCCGGAUCUGCGGUGGGUACCGGCAGACUAGAGUGCAGUAGGGGAGACUGGAAUUCCUGGUGUAGCGGUGGAAUGCGCAGAUAUCAGGGAGGAACACCCGAUGGCGAAGGCAGGUCUCUGGGCUGUAACUGACG
rnacentral:rRNA from 1 species